GACAUUGUUAAAAAAAAAAAAGCAAACAUGUACAUAAUGGUCUAUUUCUAAAAUAUCAACAACAUAUGUGUUUGUCAGUGAGUGUUUUUCAAAUCUGUGAGACUGUGUGUGUGUCAGUGAGUGUUUCUGUCAGUGAGUGUGAUUCAAAUCAGGGAGAUUGUGUGGCUGUCAUUGAGAGUGUGUCUGUCUGUCUGUCAGUGAGUGUGUGUUUGGCAGUAUCUGUCAGUGAGUGAGUGUGUUUCAAAUCAGUGAGAUUGUGUUUGUCAUUGAGAGUGUGUGUCUGCCAGUGUGCAUCUGUCAAUGUGUUUCUCUCAGUGAGCGUGUGUUACUAUCAGUGAGUGUGUGUCUGAUUAGAAAAAUG